AUUGAACGCUGGCGGCAGGCCUAACACAUGCAAGUCGAGCGGAUGAAGGGAGCUUGCUCCUGGAUUCAGCGGCGGACGGGUGAGUAAUGCCUAGGAAUCUGCCUGGUAGUGGGGGAUAACGUCCGGAAACGGGCGCUAAUACCGCAUACGUCCUGAGGGAGAAAGUGGGGGAUCUUCGGACCUCACGCUAUCAGAUGAGCCUAGGUCGGAUUAGCUAGUUGGUGGGGUAAAGGCCUACCAAGGCGACGAUCCGUAACUGGUCUGAGAGGAUGAUCAGUCACCCCGGAACUGAGACACGGUCCAGACUCCUACGGGAGGCAGCAGUGGGGAAUAUUUGACAAUGGGCGAAAGCCUGAUCCAGCCCUGCCGCGUGUGUGAAGAAGGUCUUCGGAUUUUAAAGCACUUUAAGUUGGGAGGAAGGGCAGUAAGUUAAUACCUUGCUGUUUUGACGUUACCAACAGAAUAAGCACCGGCUAACCUCGUG
rnacentral:rRNA from 1 species